rnacentral:miRNA from 1 species
GUAGGCCUUUAGAUCAUCUA